ACUAGUUGGCUUUUAAACAACAGAAAUUUAUUUCUCACUAAAUCAUCCAAGAUCAGUGUCUGGUGAGUGCAUGCUUCCUGGUUCAAAUAAAGCCAUCUUUAUUUUACACUGUCCACAUGGUAGAAGAGAAGAGGGAGCUCUCAGGGGUCCUUCUUAUGAUGAAUGACAGUAAUCCCGUUCAUGAGGCCCCUGCCCUUGUGACCUAAUCACCUCUCAAAGGCCCCAGAUCAUAAUACCAUCAUCACUUUGGGGUUUAGGACUUAACAUAAUAGAUUUGGGUGGGGUUAGUGGGAAGGCUGUUAACAACAUCAAAAUAAAUUGCAGAUAGAUGAAAUGUUUUAAGUGUUAAAAAGUUUUUUAAAAUAAAGAAGAUAGUUCACAAAGUAAAAUGGCCUUUAUACAUAAGACCUUACUUAAGAGAAAUACAAAUUAUAAGUAUACCAUUUUUUAACCCAUUAUUGGCAAAGAUUACAAGGUUUUUUUUAAAUAAUACUCCAUGUUGAUGAGGAUGGGAAAACAGGCACUCACAUACUGUGUGUGUAUGAUAUGAAUGGUCAUUGUUUCCUCCAAACUUGGCCAAUUUUCCAGAUAAAUUUAUGUUUUAUAAUUAGGAAUAAAAAAAAAAGAUUACUUAAUAAAAGUCCUUAAGAGAUAUGGUAAUGAACAGAAAAAAAGGGGGGCAUCUGUAAUAAUUUAAACAAUAAAGAUAUUUUUUAAAAUAUUUGGUAAUGAAUAAAUAAGAAUGACAUAAUAAUUUCUUUGUUUGAAAUAAUAUUUCUGAAGUUCCUGUGUGUAUUUUGUUCUUGGAUUAUGUCUGUUUUAUUUUAACUCCUGAAGUGGAUACAUUUUCAAGCUGCCUAAAAAUGUUUCUUAAUACCUUGCUCACACAUUCAAAAUGGGAACUGUAAUUCCUCUUCCUCCUCCCCCAUUAGACCACUUUUCCUCUUGCAUUCUGUAUCUUGCAAAAUGGUAUCUAGAAUGUUAUCUUUGAUAUAUAUAUAUUUUUUAGCCUUCUAUAUCCAGGUUCUUUUUUUAUCUUGCAGAUACCUUGAAUCUGGGCACUGUUUUUCUUUGUUCCUGCUUUAGUUCAUGCCUUUGUUAGUUUUAGGUUUAGGCAGAAUUCUUCUUUCUGGCCUGGUCUUUCCCUCUAGUUCAUUCUCUACUUGACCCUCUUAAAAGUAGGUAAUUUGGUCAUGUUCAGUUUUGCUAUAUAAAAUUUU